AUCCUCACGAUCACUGCAGGAGACUACCCCCGUCCGUGGGGAGGAAGCCCAAAAGCCCUUACCUCCCCACAGACGAUCACUGCCUCCUCUCUGGGUAGCCGGAUUGGCCGCCCACAUGACUACUGGCUCCAUGAUGGAGCUGGUAGGGGCAGUGGGGAUUAGGGACUGCCCAGCCCCCGGAAGUCCCAGCAUGCCCGGGGGUCUCACAUGCAAGUGAGCGGGGCAUUGCGAGUGUGUGAGGGCAUGCGAGUGUGCAGGGGGUCUUGCAUGUGAGUGUGUGGGGCAUUUUGGGAAACCCCCAAGAAUGGGAGGCAUGGCAUGGCGGCACACGAUCAACAGAACAAUGUUUCCCGCCUCCCUAAGUGCCAGAAUACGCAUAAUACAGAGGAUCCAUGAAACUCAGUCUAGGUCAGAGGCCCUUCUCUGGAUUUACCAUCUUUUGGAAUUGGGCAGACAGUGACUGGACAAAGGCUCUGACUGAAAUCCUCCUAGGACCAUCACUCCACCCUCAUGUGGAGGGAAAAGGACAUUCCUUUGAUUUUUAAAAUUAAUUUUUGUCUUCCCCAUUGCAGAAACACACAAUCAGUAAAGUGAAAGUACUUUCUGGUUUGUCAUUAGAAAGAAUUUCUCACUUUCUCUUCUUUCUCUUCUUCGGAGAGUGCAGUCCCAUCAAAAACAGAAGGAACUCCACCUCCUUGGUAAGAUGAACCAUUAAGGGAUUAAAAGGCGUGAAGUCUUUUAAUCCCUUUUAAAAUGUUGGCCUGUUCCUGCAGCUGUUUCCCAUUUUCCUACAUCUUCCUCCAUUUCCCAUUGUCUUUGGUCAGCUGCAACCACAUGCCCCACCCAUUCCCUACUAUGGGACACUCAUAUAGGACUCCCACAUAUAGGUUUAACUGGUCUACUCCUCCCUAGAGCUGCACAUGCAGAAGGAAGGGAAAAGGCUUCAGUGCCACAUGGAGCUGCUUGCCCCAUAUGGCUACAUGAAAACUGGGGACAGUGGAAUACAGCCAUGCUGAGCAGCCCGGAGACUGAGAUGUAUGGAUAGCUAUGCCCCAAUAUUAUUUACAGAAUGUCAAAGUUCUGAGAAAACUGAUAAUAUGUAAUGAAGGUAACCCAAAAGGUAUAAUUCCUAUAAGUGGAGCAUAUGGAAACCUUCCUAGAUGUUUAAACUUUUUUUUAAAAUGUGGGGCUUCCUGCUCCAUAAAAAAAUUAAUAUAUUAUUUUCAGCAUAUUGGGUUCCAAAUUGAACAUAGUUCCUGCAGACUCCAAUAACACCAUUGCUGUGUGUUGCUGACAGCACUUGAACCAGACAAUCCUAUUUACAUGGGUUAUUUUAUUAAAUGGUGAUGCAUCAACCCAGACCGCCAAGUGUAUGAUUCACUAAAUAGUGUCAAGGUUACACCUUGAUGCUAAUAAAGUUUCAUUAAGAAUGAAAUACCAUUAUCAGCAGUGUCUUUGUAAU